GGGUCAGUAGGUUGGUCGUGCCACCGGUACGUACUGGUCUCACUGAUUCCUCCUUCCUGAAGAACCGUAAUGCCAUUAAUUUGGUGUUGCGGGGAAUCUGGACUGUUACUUUGAAAAAAUUAGAGUGUUUAAAGCAGACUAACGCUUGAAUACAUUAGCAUGGAAUAAUGAAAUAGGACGAUCGAUCCUAUUUUGUUGGUUUCUAGGAUUGACGUA
rnacentral:rRNA from 1 species